AUUGAACGCUGGCGGCAGGCCUAACACAUGCAAGUCGAGCGAGCGGCGGACGGGUGAGUAAUGUCUGGGAAACUGCCUGAUGGAGGGGGAUAACUACUGGAAACGGUAGCUAAUACCGCAUACCAUCAGAUGUGCCCAGAUGGGAUUAGCUAGUAGGUGGGGUAAUGGGUCACCUAGGCGACGAUCCCUAGCUGGUCUGAGAGGAUGACCAGCCAAAUUGGAACGGAGACACGGCCCAGACUCCUAGGGGAGGAAGCAGUGGGGAAUAUUGCACAAUGGGCGCAAGCCUGAUGCAGCAAUGCCGCGUGGAUGAAGAAGGCCUUCGGGUGGUAAAGUACUUUCAGAGAGGAGGCGUUACUCGCAGAAGAAGCACCGGCUAACUCCGUGCCAGCAGCCGCGGUAAUUC
rnacentral:rRNA from 1 species